rnacentral:rRNA from 1 species
AUUGAACGCUGGCGGCAUGCCUUACACAUGCAAGUCGAACGGUAACGCGGGGCAACCUGGCGACGAGUGGCGAACGGGUGAGUAAUGCAUCGGAACGUGCCCAGUAGUGGGGGAUAGCCCGGCGAAAGCCGGAUUAAUACCGCAUACGACCUACGGGUGAAAGGGGGGGAUCGCAAGACCUCUCGCUAUUGGAGCGGCCGAUGUCAGAUUAGGUAGUUGGUGGGGUAAAGGCCUACCAAGCCGACGAUCUGGAGCUGGUCUGAGAGGAGUACCAGCCGCACUGGGACUGAGACACGGCCCAGACUCCGACGGGAGGCAGCAGUGGGGAAUUUUGGACAAUGGGCGCAAGCCUGAUCCAGCCAUGCCGCGGGCGGGAAGAAGGCCUUCGGGUUGUAAACCGCUUUUGUCAGGGAAGAAAUCUUCUGGGUUAAUACCUCGGGAGGAUGACGGUACCUGAAGAAUAAGCACCGGCUAACUACGUGCCAGCCGCCGCAGUAAAAC